rnacentral:rRNA from 1 species
CGCCCGCUCAGAAACUUAAAGGAAUGACGGGGGCCCGCACAAGCGGUGGAGUAUGUGGUUUAAUUCGAUGCAACGCGAAGAACCUUACCUGGUCUUGACAUCCCGGAGACCCUUAGGAAACUAGGGGGUGCUUCCAUCUGGAAGAAUCUGGAGACAGGUGCUGCAUGGCUGUCGUCAGCUCGUGUCGUGAGAUGUUGGGUUAAGUCCCGCAACGAGCGCAACCCUUGCCUUUAGUUGCCAGCAGUUCGGCUGGGCACUCUAAAGGGACUGCCGGUGUUAAACCGGAGGAAGGUGGGGAUGACGUCAAGUCCUCAUGGCCUUUAUGACCAGGGCUACACACGUACUACAAUGGCCGAUACAAAGGGCAGCGACACUGCGAGGUGAAGCCAAUCCCGUAAAAUCGGUCUCAGUCCGGAUUGGAGUCUGCAACUCGACUCCAUGAAGUUGGAAUCGCUAGUAAUCGUGGAUCAGCAUGCCACGGUGAAUACGUUCCCGGGCCUU